AUUGAACGCUGGCGGCAUGCUUUACACAUGCAAGUCGAACGGCAGCACGGGCUUCGGCCUGGUGGCGUAGUGGCGAACGGGUGAGUAAUGCAUCGGAACGUGCCCAUUUGUGGGGGAUAACUACGCGAAAGCGUGGCUAAUACCGCAUACGCCCUGAGGGGGAAAGCGGGGGAUUCUUCAGAACCUCGCGCAAUUGGAGCGGCCGAUGUCAGAUUAGCUUGUUGGUGAGGUAAAGGCUCACCAAGGCGACGAUCUGUAGCGGGUCUGAGAGGAUGAUCCGCCACACUGGGACUGAGACACGGCCCAGACUCCUACGGGAGGCAGCAGUGGGGAAUUUUGGACAAUGGGGGCAACCCUGAUCCAGCCAUGCCGCGUGAGUGAAGAAGGCCUUCGGGUUGGUAAAGUACUCUUUCUAGCCGGGAACGAAAACGACGAACUCUCUAACAUAAGGUGUGGAUGACGGUACCGGAAGAAGAAGCACCGGCGUAACUACGUGCCAGCACG
rnacentral:rRNA from 1 species